AAACUUGUUGCUAUGAAAUAAAAUGACUUCAGCUCGUUUGACUAGCUAUUCACUUUUGAAAGUAAAAAACGAAGUCACUAUGAUGAAAGGAAUAUUCUCAACUCUCAUUUUAUCCUUCGUGUUUACGAUGGUAUGGAGUGUCCGCGCCGAUACGACCAAUAGACCAUUUUAUAUUGACCAGUACUGCAGUGUAAAUGAUCUUGACUGUUUUGGCAAAUGUUUUAAUAAUAUCGUUAGUUCAAAG